rnacentral:rRNA from 1 species
CGUGUAGGCGGGAAGGUAAGUCGGGCGUGAAAUCCCUGGGCUCAACCCAGGAACUGCACUCGAAACUACUUUUCUUGAGUGCCGGAGAGGAAAGCGGAAUUCCUGGUGUAGAGGUGAAAUUCGUAGAUAUCAGGAGGAACACCAGUGGCGAAGGCGGCUUUCUGGACGGUAACUGACGCUGAGACGCGAAAGCGUGGGGAGCAAACAGGAUUAGAUACCCUGGUAGUCCACGCUGUAAACGAUGAGUGCUAGGUGUCGUGGGUAUUGACCCCCGCGGUGCCGUAGCUAACGCAUUAAGCACUCCGCCUGGGAAGUACGGUCGCAAGACUAAA